rnacentral:lncRNA from 1 species
CACUCGUCAGGCCAUGCUGUGGCAGGCAUCCCACGUAUAAAGUAGAGGCAGAUGGGCACAGAUGCAGAUGUUAGCUCAGGGCCAGUCUUCCUCAGCAAAAAACAGGAGGAUUGGCAGCAGAUGCUAGCUCAGAGCUAACCUCCCUCAAAAAGAAAAAAACGUUUGUAAUUAAUAAUCUGUGGGAUGAUUCUUUGGCAACAAAUAGCAUUCUUAAUAACAGGUCUCAGGGCUGCCAGGUGGCGCAGUGGUCAAGUUCACAUGCUCUGCUUCGGCAGCCUGGGGUUUGCAGGUUUGGAUCCUGGGCACAGACCUGUGCACGGCUCAUCAAGCCAUGCUGUGGCGGUGCCCCACAUCCAAAAAUGGAGGACCAGUGGCACAGAUGUUAGCUCAGAGACCAUCUUCCCCACCAGAAAAAAACACAAAACCACAAAUCUUACAAUGUUUCCAAGAAAAAUGGUCCACAAGGAAACUUCUUCGAGUUGGACUCAUUUCAACAAAUCUCUAGUCAGUCCUCGUUAAUCUGUGUUAUUCCACGGUGCUGAGAUGGAAGUGGAAGUGGUGAAGACCGACCAGCACACGGGACAUCAAAUGCUAAAACAAAGGGCAAAAUCCCCCGGAGAAUGUGGAGCGGGACACAGACCACGCUAAAUGCGCGGGGAGGGAAGCUGAGGAUCGAAGCCACGGCCGAGGUUUCAGACGGACGGCAGAGCCCAGAGGAGGACUCCGGUUCCCGCCGGCGGGCCCAGCGUCCCGUCCUGACAGCACCCACGGGCGUCGGGAGGCUGGUUCCCCAGCACAGGCGUGACACCUGCCACGCCGCGCGGACAGCUCGGGCAGCUCACUGUGCAACCUCAACAAGCUUUCUCCAGACCCUCCAGAAGGCGCCUCAGAGGAAAUUUUAUUUGGGCUGAUUUAAAUAUUUACGUUGUGACAUUAGACCCAUGGAGAUUCAGUCUGGUUUUGCCUCAGGGACGUGUUUCCUCACAGCGACAGUGACACACGCACACACUGCGUAACCGGAUAUUGCUCAUCUGCCACACCUUGAAACUAACACACAAGGUUUUUCUGUUCACAAAUCGGGAAAGGACUCGAGGUUUCUAACUCCUCCGCCCCGGGGGCAGCCUCCCGCCGACACAGCGUGACUGCACAGCGCAGCGCGCUCCCUCAGUCUGGUGACAGCGGCUCGCUCGAGCGGGGCCCAGGGCCGGCGUGCCAGGUCGGCGGGGUCACUGACUGCUUCGCCUUUCGAUUUAAGAAUACCUAGCGUACACCUGGUCCUCAGGACAGAAUAAGGGGGCCCGUCCUCACACGCGGCGGGCCGCCGAUGGAGCUGCCUUUAGGCACCCGGCAGGGCCGGCGCGGCUUCAGAUUGAGAGCUGCCGCCGGAGGGGCGCUGUUCUAGGCACUGUGUGGGGGAAUCCCGGGGUUUAAUCUGUUCUGAGCAGCUCUGGGCUGCAGACGCUGCCAUCCCACCGGUCUCCCCCUGGGCCGAGGGCAUACUGGGCGGGAAGCGAUUUCACGCGAGGGCCGCGGCGCCCGCCCCCGGCUGGCCUUUCUCCCCUGAUCUGGCGCCCCGGGCGUCCCGCGGCUCGGGGUGAGGGCGUUUAAGUGACCGGUGGCAGCUCGCGCUUCCCGGAAGGGCUCUGGCGGUGACUCAGGGCCGCCUCUCGAGGGGGCUCUCCGCGGGGAGGGCGCCGGGGCUGGUCGGGGGGCCUUCCCCUCACGGUGGGCUUGGCAGCGCCGGCGCCCGCGCCGCGGCAUCGAGUGACCGAGCGCACGCCAGGCCUCACGGCGCUCGGCCGGGGGACGGCCGCGCCCAGCUCCGCCACCGGACAUGGGCGACGCCUGGCUGGGCUGCCGAGGGCGGGAGCGAAACCAUUUCAUCGCGGCCCAGCGGGAGGGGCACGCCCGCCCCGUCACUUCGAGGAAGCCGGAGCCUGACAGGCCGCGCACGAGCCGGAAGGGCGGCGAGUCAGGGACCAUCCUGCGCACGCGCGGCGCCCCUCCCGCACCCGGUCGCGUUGAGCGGCUCCCUCCGCCAGCUGCCGGAUCUAAGUCGUCGGCCUUCGCCGCCGCCGGCCUGCCGCCCCCGCGCCGCCCUGACGCAGCCGGCCCGCCCUUCGCCCCCGCGGCGCCGGCUUCUUGUGACGUCGCAGCCCAGCCCUCGCGCUUCGUCCCCCGAGCGCGGCGGGGCGGCGGGGCGGCGGGGCGGCGGGGCGGCGGGGCGGCGGGGCGGCGGGGCGGCGGGGCGGGCGGGCGCUCGUGACCUGUCGGAAGCUCUGUGGGGAAGGACCCGUCUUUUGUAAUUUCCUACGGUUUCCUAAUAAGGGUGAAAAUGCGGGCACCUCUGAACUUGCAAGCUGGGAGUUCUGAUCCAAAUGUGGACGAGCUGAUCACACAUGGCCACACCUUCAGGGCAAAGGUUCCUGGAUAUCACUAGAGCUCUGCAUACCGAAAAUGGUGUAAAUUCCAGACCCUGCCCAGAUGAACUGCGUCUAAAGUUACAAAUAACAUAUAUAGUGGCCAAAUUCAUUGACCGGAACUGUUUUCACAAGAAAGAUGCUGAUCAAAACAGAGUUGAACAGAAGAUGGAGUAGAAGAAAGGGAAAAUGAAUGAUUCAGUUAUUGCUAACUUGUAGGAAAUAAAUAUUUGGUAAAUAAGAAACGAACUUUUGAGAGAAAAACGUUAAUUCACUGAGAAAUAAGGAUAAUGAAUUCAUUUUAAUUGUCUGCCUAAUUUCAUACAUGUAACCUACUUCUUUCCUUGAUGUCAUAUUAUCAUGGGAUCUUUAUAAGGGACCUUGAAAUUUCAUGUGACACAUUUCAGUGAUUGCAGGUCAGAACUCAUUUCAUCCAUCCAGGGAAGUGAGAGUCUAUCUGCUCUCAAAGAAUUAGGAAGAAAGGGAUUCCAACCUGAUGGGGAAACGAAAUGAUAAGGAUUAUGAGAAUGAUCGGAUGGGGAGGGGGGCUUUUUCUGUUGCCCCGGAUUUGAAAGAAGGCCCAGAGCUAAAAACGGUAAUGGGGAUCUGAAACUUUCUCCAAAGUUUUUCUAAGGGGCUGGGCCUCAGUCCCCACCUACACCCCCUGCCCCUUAACACCCAGUCCAGGGUCUACAGAAGAAGCCUGAGGAGAAGUGAGGUGGGCCGUUCCUCCCCUCCCACUGGGGAGGGACUUCUCCUGACUCCCACUGCCUAGUAACGAAAGAGGCUCUGACAGUGGCUUUCAGGGCUGAGCCUGGUCACCUCUGCUUAGGUAGCAGACUUGCUGGGCUGCCAUUCCUCCCCGAGCCGAGAAGAUGGAAGCUGGGGAGACCUGGCUGGCCCGGUGGAAUUGGCGACCGUGGAGCAGCCAGCUUGCCCGCCUAUUAUGUCGCAUGACCAGGGUGCAGGAAAUUCCUUAGGACCAGAGGACGUAAGGAAGGCAGCUAUCCUUGAGCUACCUGGCUAUACGCCCCCCACAACCCCAAAGACUGUGCACCACGAUUUGGGUAUAUUAUUGGGCUAGUUGAGGGGUGGGUGGGAGAGGUCCAGCUAGAGCUGAAUCUUCCGUAUUGGGGGACUGCACACUGGGAAGACCCGUCUGGCUAAAUUUCACAUGUGUUCCCCAUGAGGCAGAGUUCAGAUGCUGGCAUGCACACUCAGAUCGCCGGAGAAGCAGAGCAGUCAACAGAGCGGGGGCCACAGCUGUCUCUUUCCUUCCCUUUCUUCCUGACUCCGAUCCUGAGGGAGCCAGGCCUGGGAGGGGGAAGAAGGAGUGUCUCAGAGCCUGGACUCCCUCCAGCCUCAUCUCACUCUAAGCAGUCAGGG